GCCCGAGUAGCGCAAUUGGUUAACGCGUUAGACUUCUAUGCUUAUAACAAGUUGGAAUCUGAAGAUUGUGAGUUCGACCCUCAUCUCGGGUG
rfam:Sugiyamaella lignohabitans strain CBS 10342 chromosome B, complete sequence.